AUACUAGAUACAGGGUCUUCAUAAGAUCUGUAUACUUUGUUUAUUCAUCAGGUAUUAUGAUGUGCACGUGAUAUUGUAUGGAUAUGACAUCUUGCUUUGACAGUUUACUUUCACAAUGUUUUCUUUUUCUUGCAGUGUAAUCUAUUUUUCCUCUGGGUUUGACGAUUGUUUCUCUGGAUGUGCAUGCUACAAGGUGGAUUCGUUGGCUUCCUGGCUCUCCUGCUCGACCUCAUCAAAGAAAGAGGAAGUGGGAGGGUCUGCCUAAGUGGCUUUAUACUGCUGUUGUUUUGUUCUGAUUGGUUGUUUUGAAAAGUUCUGUUAACUGUUUCUUUGCUGUUGG